UCCCCGGGAGCCGGGGCCGCCCGGGCGCCGGGGGCCGAGUUCCGAGGGACUUUGCAAAAGAGGCGCUCGCCUCCCUCCCCGCGCGCCUCCUCCGGGAGCACGGGGAUGCUUGCACCUGCGCCGCCGGGGACCGCCUGGCCAGAGCCGCUGCUCCGCCCCCGGGGACGGGGGGACCUGCGCCCCGGAGCGCUUGGAAAUUGGAUCUUGGCAAAAUUAGCAACGAAUCCAUAAAGGAGACUAAAAGCCAUUUGAUCUCCCUCUUCAAUGACAGUCCCACAAAAGUCGAAGAAAUACAUUAUGUCUCCAAUGAAGAGAGCAGUUGUACCCUAAAAUUAGGACAUGAUUAAGAAUGAAGCUGUCUGUAAGGAAGUUCCUCAGCUCUUCAUAGAAUAGAUUCCUGGGAAAGCAUAGCGAGAAUCAUCUGAAUCACAGCAAAGGCAAUACUGGGCCUCACACUGGGCUCCAAAG